GUCCAACGUUAAUCGGGGCAGGGUGAGUCGACCCCUAAGGCGAGGCCGAAAGGCGUAGUCGAUGGGAAACAGGUUAAUAUUCCUGUACUUGGUGUUACUGCGAAGGGGGGACGGAGAAGGCUAUGUUGGCCGGGCGACGGUUGUCCCGGUUUAAGCGUGUAGGCUGGUUUUCCAGGCAAAUCCGGAAAAUCAAGGCUGAGGCGUGAUGACGAGGCACUACGGUGCUGAAGCGACAAAUGCCCUGCUUCCAGGAAAAGCCUCUAAGCAUCAGGUAACAUCAAAUCGUACCCCAAACCGACACAGGUGGUCAGGUAGAGAAUACCAAGGCGCUUGAGAGAACUCGGGUGAAGGAACUAGGCAAAAUGGUGCCGUAACUUCGGGAGAAGGCACGCUGAUAUGUAGGUGAAGCGACUUGCUCGUGGAGCUGAAAUCAGUCGAAGAUACCAGCUGGCUGCAACUGUUUAUUAAAAACACAGCACUGUGCAAACACGAAAGUGGACGUAUACGGUGUGACGCCUGCCCGGUGCCGGAAGGUUAAUUGAUGGGGUUAGCGGUAACGCGAAGCUCUUGAUCGAAGCCCCGGUAAACGGCGGCCGUAACUAUAACGGUCCUAAGGUAGCGAAAUUCCUUGUCGGGUAAGUUCCGACCUGCACGAAUGGCGUAAUGAUGGCCAGGCUGUCUCCACCCGAGACUCAGUGAAAUUGAACUCGCUGUGAAGAUGCAGUGUACCCGCGGCAAGACGGAAAGACCCCGUGAACCUUUACUAUAGCUUGACACUGAACAUUGAGCCUUGAUGUGUAGGAUAGGUGGGAGGCUUUGAAGUGUGGACGCCAGUCUGCAUGGAGCCGACCUUGAAAUACCACCCUUUAAUGUUUGAUGUUCUAACGUGGGCCCCUUACCGGGGUUGCGGACAGUGUCUGGUGGGUAGUUUGACUGGGGCGGUCUCCUCCUAAAGAGUAACGGAGGAGCACGAAGGUUGGCUAAUCCUGGUCGGACAUCAGGAGGUUAGUGCAAUGGCAUAAGCCAGCUUGACUGCGAGCGUGACGGCGCGAGCAGGUGCGAAAGCAGGUCAUAGUGAUCCGGUGGUUCUGAAUGGAAGGGCCAUCGCUCAACGGAUAAAAGGUACUCCGGGGAUAACAGGCUGAUACCGCCCAAGAGUUCAUAUCGACGGCGGUGUUUGGCACCUCGAUGUCGGCUCAUCACAUCCUGGGGCUGAAGUAGGUCCCAAGGGUAUGGCUGUUCGCCAUUUAAAGUGGUACGCGAGCUGGGUUUAGAACGUCGUGAGACAGUUCGGUCCCUAUCUGCCGUGGGCGCUGGAGAACUGAGGGGGGCUGCUCCUAGUACGAGAGGACCGGAGUGGACGCAUCACUGGUGUUCGGGUUGUCAUGCCAAUGGCACUGCCCGGUAGCUAAAUGCGGAAGAGAUAAGUGCUGAAAGCAUCUAAGCACGAAACUUGCCCCGAGAUGAGUUCUCCCUGACUCCUUGAGAGUCCUGAAGGAACGUUGAAGACGACGACGUUGAUAGGCCGGGUGUGUAAGCGCAGCGAUGCGUUGAGCUAACCGGUACUAAUGAACCGUGAGGCUUAACCUUACAACGCCGAAG
rnacentral:rRNA from 1 species